UACGGGAGGCAGCAGUGGGGAAUAUUGCACAAUGGGCGCAAGCCUGAUGCAGCCAUGCCGCGUGUAUGAAAAAGGCCUUCGGGUUGUAAAGUACUUUCAGUCGUGAGGAAGGUGUUAAGGUUAAUAACCUUAGCAAUUGACGUUAGCGACAGAAGAAGCACCGGCUAACUCCGUGCCAGCAGCCGCGGUAAUACGGAGGGUGCGAGCGUUAAUCGGAAUUACUGGGCGUAAAGGGCACGCAGGCGGUUAAUUAAGUUGGAUGUGAAAUCCCCGGGCUUAACCUGGGAAUGGCAUUCAAGACUGGUUAGCUAGAGUCUUGUAGAGGGGGUAGAAUUCCAUGUGUAGCGGUGAAAUGCGUAGAGAUGUGGAGGAAUACCGGUGGCGAAGGCGGCCCCUGGGACAAAGGACUGACGCUCAUGUGCGAAAGCGUGGGGAGCGAAACAGGGAUUAGAUA
rnacentral:rRNA from 1 species